UACGUAGGUGGCAAGCGUUGUCCGGAAUUAUUGGGCGUAAAGCGCGCGUAGGCGGCCCGGCAAGUCGGAUGUGAAAUCCCGGGGCUCAACCCCGGGCCUGCAUCCGAUACUCCCGGGCUGGAGGCAGGUAGGGGAGAUCGGAAUUCCUGGUGUAGCGGUGAAAUGCGCAGAUAUCAGGAGGAACACCGGUGGCGAAGGCGGAUCUCUGGGCCUUGCCUGACGCUGAGGCGCGAAAGCUAGGGGAGCGAACAGG
rnacentral:rRNA from 1 species